AUCUCCAGCGUUCAGUAACAGGACUCUGAGUUUCGGAAGCUCCUCCCUUUAGACGCCAUUCACUGCAUCCGACCUCCGCCUUCACCCGUCGAGUACGUUACAGUUGCAGUUCCAGACUCAAGCACUGGAUGUGAUUUCACAUGACCGUUCAUCUCGAAUAACCUCGUGAUGGUGGAUACAGAAGAUUUAAACCGCAAUAACUUACAGAGCAAGACGUUUUUACAUUUUCUGCUAUAAAUAAUGAACUGUACAAGGUAUCACCUGUUGAUUUUAAUAUAUAGAAGAAGAAGAAGUAUGCAGCUUCUCUGUUAUCAGCUGAGGACGUUACAGAACGGUCUGAUAAUUCUCCUUGAUCUCUGAACUUCUCUCACAUUGAUCCUAAACCUUCCUGGCAUUAAAAAGAGUGCGGCAGGAUACAGCGAACCUUUGGAAGUCCUUUUCAGGAGAGGAAGAACAAUUGUUGAAGUGGACAUGCUGACUCAGGUCUCGAUGACUGAAGGUGUAUCUGUGCCGGUUUGCCAUCUGCCUGCUAAUAGAGGAUACAGUGCCACCCAAAUUCCUUCCCUUCACCUCCCUGUACUUCCUUCUCUAAACACCACUACAUCUGUCCACACAUUAAAAAUGUUAUUUCAGAUAAAACUGCCGCAUAUCUUUUUAUACAAUAUUUCUUGGCUGAUGUAAGGCUCCAUUUGAGGCCUGCUGGGAAGUCAGUGUGACUUUGUCGCCCCCUAGUGUUGAUUUAAAGCCAGUUCACUCGAUGUAGUAUAAAUGCAGAGCGCCAUCUGUAGGUCAACACGUGGAACUGCUUUAAACUAGGUAAUUCACAUUGACAUUACAGCAUGUUUUAAUCAAAUAUUUGAUCUUUUAAUGAAGGACUCCAACGUCCUAAUUCACCCAAUAAGCUUUUAUU